AUAGGGGAAGAGUGGAAUUUCGUGUGGAGGGGAUCAAAUCCUAAGAUAUACGAAGGAACGCCAACCCGCGAAGGCAGCUCUCUGGGUCCCCACUGACGCUGGGGUGCGAAAGCAUGGGGAGCAAACAGGAUCAGAUACCCUGGUAGUCCAUGCCGUAAGCGAUGAGUGUUCGUCCUUGGUCUGCCUGCCUACUAGGUAGGAUUAGGAUCAGGGGCCCAGCUAACGCGUGAAACACUCCGCCUGGGGAGUACGGUCGCAAGACUGAAACUCAAAGGAAUUGACGGGGGCCCGCACAAGCGGUGGAGCAUGUGGUUUAAUUCGAUGCAACGCGAAGAACCUUACCUGGUCUUGACAUCCAUAAAAUUUUUUAGAGAUAAAAAAGUGCCUUUACCGGAAUUAUGAGACAGGUGCUGCAUGGCUGUCGUCAGCUCGUGUUGUGAAAUGUUGGGUUAAGUCCCGCAACGAGCGCAACCCUUGUUCUCUGUUGCCAUCAGGUUAUGCUGGGAACUCAGAGGAGACUGCCGGUUAUAAGCUGGAGGAAGGUGGGGACGACGUCAAGUCAUCAUGGCCCUUACGACCAGGGCUACACACGUGCUACAAUGGCAUAUACAAAGAGAAGCAAAUCUGCGAAGACAAGCAAAACUCAUAAAGUAUGUCUUAGUUCGGACUGGAGUCUGCAACUCGACUCCACGAAGUCGGAAUCGCUAGUAAUCGUGGAUCAGAAUGCCACGGUGAAUACGUUCCCGGGCCUUGCACUCACCGCCCGUC
rnacentral:rRNA from 1 species